rnacentral:rRNA from 1 species
GAUGAACGCUGGCGGCGUGCCUAAUACAUGCAAGUCGAGCGAACAGACGAGGAGCUUGCUCCUCUGACGUUAGCGGCGGACGGGUGAGUAACACGUGGAUAACCUACCUAUAAGACUGGGAUAACUUCGGGAAACCGGAGCUAAUACCGGAUAAUAUAUUGAACCGCAUGGUUCAAAAGUGAAAGACGGUUUUGCUGUCACUUAUAGAUGGAUCCGCGCGGCAUUAGCUAGUUGGUAAGGUAACGGCUUACCAAGGCAACGAUGCGUAGCCGACCUGAGAGAGUGAUCGGCCACACUGGAACGGAGACACGGUCCAGACUCCUACGAGAGGCAGCAGUAGGGAACCUUCCGCAAUGGGCGAAAGCCUGACGGAGCAACGCCGCGUGAGUGAUGAAGGUCUUCGGAUCGUAAAACUCUGUUAUUAGGGAAGAACAAAUGUGUAAGUAACUGUGCACAUCUUGACGGUACCUAAUCAGAAAGCCACGGCUAACUACGUG